UAACGCGUGGGUAACCUGCCCUGUACACACGGAUAACAUACCGAAAGGUGUGCUAAUACGAGAUAAAAUACUUUUAUCGCAUGGUAGAAGUAUCAAAGCUUUUGCGGCACAGGAUGGACCCGCGUCUGAUUAGCUAGUUGGUAAGGUAACGGCUUACCAAGGCGACGAUCAGUAGCCGACCUGAGAGGGUGAUCGGCCACAUUGGAACUGAGACACGGUCCAAACUCCUACGGGAGGCAGCAGUGGGGAAUAUUGCACAAUGGGCGAAAGCCUGAUGCAGCAACGCCGCGUGAGCGAUGAAGGCCUUCGGGUCGUAAAGCUCUGUCCUCAAGGAAGAUAAUGACGGUACUUGAGGAGGAAGCCCCGGCUAACUACGUGCCAGCAGCCGCGGUAAUACGUAGGGGGCUAGCGUUAUCCGGAAUUACUGGGCGUAAAGGGUGCGUAGGUGGUUUCUUAAGUCAGAGGUGAAAGGCUACGGCUCAACCGUAGUAAGCCUUUGAAACUGGGAAACUUGAGUGCAGGAGAGGAGAGUGGAAUUCCUAGUGUAGCGGUGAAAUGCGUAGAUAUUAGGAGGAACACCAGUUGCGAAGGCGGCUCUCUGGACUGUAACUGACACUGAGGCACGAAAGCGUGGGGAGCAAACAGGAUUAGAUACCCUGGUAGU
rnacentral:rRNA from 1 species